rnacentral:rRNA from 1 species
CAGUCGCCGCGGUAAAACGAAGGGUGCAAGCGUUACUCGGAAUUACUGGGCGUAAAGCGUGCGUAGGUGGUGUUUAAGUCCGUUGUGAAAGCCCUGGGCUCAACCUGGGAAUUGCAGUGGAUACUGGGUCACUAGAGUGUGGUAGAGGAUAGUGGAAUUUCCGGUGUAGCAGUGAAAUGCGUAGAGAUCGGAAGGAACAUCUGUGGCGAAGGCGACUAUCUGGGCCAACACUGACACUGAGGCACGAAAGCGUGGGGAGCAAACAGGAUUAGAGACCCCCGUAGUCCCUGUCUCUUAUACC